rnacentral:rRNA from 1 species
GGGCCCGCACAAGCGGUGGAGCAUGUGGUUUAAUUCGAUGCAACGCGAAGAACCUUACCUACUCUUGACAUCCAGAGAACCUUUUAGAGAUAGAAGGGUGCCUUCGGGAACUCUGAGACAGGUGCUGCAUGGCUGUCGUCAGCUCGUGUUGUGAAAUGUUGGGUUAAGUCCCGCAACGAGCGCAACCCCUUAUCCUUGUUUUGCCAGCACUUCGGGUGGGAACUCCAGGGAGACUGCCGUGAUAAACCGGAGGAAGGUGGGACGACGUCAAGUCAUCAUGCCCCUUACAUCCUGGGCUACACACGUACUACAAUGCUACGGACAAAGGGCAGCAAGUUCGCGAGGACAAGCAAAUCCCAUAAACGUGGCUCAG